rnacentral:rRNA from 1 species
GACGAACGCUGGCGGCGUGCUUAACAGAUGCAAGUCGAACGGAAAGGCCCUGCGUUUGUGGGGUGCUCGAGUGGCGAACGGGUGAGUAACACGUGAGUAACCUGCCCUUGACUUUGGGAUAACUUCAGGAAACUGGGGCUAAUACCGGAUAGGAGCUCCUGCUGCAUGGUGGGGGUUGGAAAGUUUCGGCGGUUGGGGAUGGACUCGCGGCUUAUCAGCUUGUUGGUGGGGUAGUGGCUUACCAAGGCUUUGACGGGUAGCCGGCCUGAGAGGGUGACCGGCCACAUUGGGACUGAGAUACGGCCCAGACUCCUACGGGAGGCAGCAGUGGGGAAUAUUGCACCAUGGGCGGAAGCCUGAUGCAGCAACGCCGCGUGCGGGAUGACGGCCUUCGGGUUGUAAACCGCUUUCGCCUGUGACGAAGCGUGAGUGACGGUGAUGGGUAAAGGAGCACCGGCUAGCUACGUG